UCCGGGUUGGACCCGGCGGUCCCGCCUGACAUGGUAACUGGCAGCGAGGGUUGCGCUCGUUGCGGGACUUAACCCAACACCUCACGGCACGAGCUGACGACAACCAUGCACCACCUGUCACCGCUGUCCCCGAAGGGAAAGCCUUGUCUCCAAGGCGGGCAGCGGGAUGUCAAGACCUGGUAAGGUUCUUCGCGUUGCUUCGAAUUAAACCACAUGCUCCACCGCUUGUGCGGGCCCCCGUCAAUUCCUUUGAGUUUCAGCCUUGCGGCCGUACUCCCCAGGCGGAGUGCUUAAUGCGUUUACUGCAGCACUAAAGGGCGGAAACCCUCUAACACUUAGCACUCAUCGUUUACGGCGUGGACUAC
rnacentral:misc_RNA from 1 species